UAUAGACACAGUCACAUGCUUAAAUAAAAUCAUUGUUUACCUUGAUUGUCUCUCAAUUCGUUUGUGUUUAUUAAAAUUGUUUGUGUUUGCUUAAUGUGUUUAUUUGAUUGACUUGUAAACGAAAAUUUUUGCAUAUAUCUGUUUUAUGUGCUCAGCUCGUAAUCAAAGAAAAAUGCAAAUGGAACAACUUCAAUUGCUCAAUUCAAUGCUUAUCCAUUUCGGACAUGAUAAAAUUUGAUGGUACCAAUUUUAAAUUCUGGCUUGACGAAAUUAAACUUUGGUGUGAUUCUUGGCUUUAUCAGAGAUGAUAUAAGAGAGAAGCCUUCUUAGAAUAUGAUUUGCCAAGUCAAAUGGUUUUUCUGAUCUGAAUCUAAUGGUGCGCGAAAUCCACAGGCAGAAGGCUGGUUCAUUCUUAACGACUACGUCCCGUAUACGUUUCAACAAAAUGGAAAGAUUGAGAGGCGUAAUCGAACCUUGAUGGAAUGUGCUCGAACAUUAUGGAAAGAUGCAAAAUUACCAGACAAAUUUUGGCACCUAUCUGUUAAUUGUGCAAAUUAUCUUUUAAAUCGUUGGCCAACUAAAAAUCAUGUAGUACCGAUGAAUGGAUUUAUGCAAUAGACUUAAACAACUCUAUAAAGAACUCUAUAACUUUAUAUAUAACUCUAUUACUUUAUAUAUAACUCUAUAAAGAACUUAGUGACCUGAUCCAGAAGGGUGUGUUGCAUGAUACGUCCUUUAUGGGUGAAACACAAACGUCUUAAACUUAAACUUAAAUAAAAUCAUUGUGAAUCAUAACAAUCAUCAUCAUUAUAUGUAUUUUCUGCUCACAUUGAGUAAAUUUGUGCUCUAUUUAUUGUAAUUCUUUCAUUGAAAAAGCAUUCUGACUGAUGAUAAGUCUAUGAUGGUUGGCAAAGUUUUGUCCAAUUUUGUAUCUUCCACUGGUACACAAACGGUUAUUGGAAAUUAGCACUUGAUGAAAAAAUCAUUCCUAAUGUGAUCAACUUAUUGAUCUGUGGAAUUAUAGCAACAAUGUGCGAUGCAAAUAUUGUGGAUACAAAGAUUAUUUGUUUGCAGGCCCGAAUGAGUUCCACCAAUUCGAAUGGAAGUGUAUUUCUCGGUACAAAAGAUAACGUUUAGCUCAAAUCAAAUUGAUUCAUCGUGGACUGAUGUCUAUUUAGUGGAUAUAGUGUUCCUAUAGGAACAAUUGGAUGGAGCGACUGGAGUCAAAU